AAUUCAUAAAUACAUGCAUUGCUUCAUUGGAUUUGCUAGGGUGUGUUAUUAUUGUGAAAUGGUUGACCGAGACUUCUUCCUUGAGACAUGUUUGUGCUCUGUGGUUAUGCAUAAUGCCCUUUUUUCUACCUGCAGAAUGAGUCUGAAUGUGCUUAUUACAUGAGAACUGGACAGUGCAAGUUUGGAAGUACCUGUAAAUUUCACCAUCCCCAACCUUCUAACAUGAUGGUCUCCUUACGUGGUUCUCCUGUUUAUCCUCCCGUUCCUUCUGCAACAACUCCUGGUCAGCUGUCCUACCCCUUGUCUAGAGGUUCUUUUAUCCCUGGGGCACGCUGGCAAGGUCCUUCAGGUUACACUCCAUUGAUAGUACCUCAGGGAGUAGUAUCAGUUCCAGGAUUUGCAUACAGUGGUCAGAUGGGCUCAGUUUCUUCUCCUGAGGGCCAGGGACAGACAGCUGGAAAUAACCAGGUCUAUGGAACUUCACGAUCCAGUGAUCCAGUGGCCAUGGGAUCUCAAGCAGUCACUUCCCCAUAUCGUCAAGCUUCUGGUCCUAUGGGGUACUAUGCAUUGCAAGAGGAGAAUGUCUUCCCUGAACGACCUGGACAGCCUGAAUGCCAGUUUUACAUG
rnacentral:misc_RNA from 1 species